GGGCGAGUAGCUCAGCGGUAGAGCGCCUGUCUUACAAACAGGUGGUCGGGGGUUCAAAUCCCUCCUCGCCCA
rnacentral:tRNA from 1 species